UCCUUUCUAGGAAUGUGUUAAAAUUGUUUGCUGAAUAUAUGAACUUGCAUCUUGUUUGGACCUUUUUAGCAGACCUUGCAGGCAAAUGUUGCAAACCGUGGGUCAGGGCUGUGCGCAGGGGAACAGCAGUGAUCUGCAGCAGCUGUUUGUCCAAGCCCUGAAAGAGGUAGUGACAAAGCUAAUUAAUUCAUUUGUCAGCUCCGUGCCUUCUGUGUAAUGAACAUGCUAGCAGUGAACCACAUUAUUUCACUGCGAUCCAACUAUUUUGUGGUUAUGCGACUAUGUUCCUCUAAUGCUUAUUGAAAAUAUCCUUAAAAGGUACGGUGGGAAAACAAUACUUCGGUUUGCUUCUCCUACUGGGUUUUGUUUCCCCCUGUUUUGUUUCGCUCUGAAUCCUCAGUGUUGAACGAGAUGCAAUCCCUCAGGCUGGCUCCGCUGUGCCUCUGCUGUGCCCCAGCCCUGGUGCGGGACCGCCGGUGCUGUGUGGCCAGGGGACACCGCGCUGCUCCAGGAGGGGACAGCGGGAGGAGCAGGACAGGUUUUGGCAAGAGUGAGUUGAGCCCUCUAUUGAUUUUGAAGAAGGGUGUAUUCUCCACAAAUCCAAAGGAACUCCUGUAAGCUGAAUACUCAGUAAUAGCAAACAUGAUGAAACUAAGGAGACAAUGAAAAACUUUCCACAGUAUUCCAGCAGAUAUGUUUGUGGAUAGAACAAAGGACUGGCUGAAUGGAACUGGAACCGGCAAAGUAUCUGUUUCAGUCAUUGCAAACUGAGGAUACUGGAAAAUAUAAUGUUUCAAUAAUUGCA